ensembl:lncRNA
GGGGGAAGUUUUGGGGAGAGAGAAGGGAAGUGAAAAUAGCAACCCGUUCCAGCUCUUUGGCUUUGGUCUGUGAUGGUUUCGUGCUACUUGGAAAUACCCUGGCCAAGCAGAUUGACAGGCAGAUUUUCCUUAACAAAACAUGCGACGUCAACAGCAACCAGAAACGCAUCUCCCUCUGCAAGCAAGUGUCCUGAAAUAAAGGGCCAAAGGAACAUCAGCCCAAUGUAUGAUGAAAACUCUUGUAGGAGAAGAUACAACAGUAGGAUGAUAGCUGAUGAUAACACCUCAAUAGCUGCUCCAUCAAGAAGGAUAUGAGUAUAUUCAAGCCAUUUGCAAACAUUGUGGUGCAAAAAGCCAGUCCAUCAUAAUUCCACGUGGCAGGGGCUGGACUCCUAUCUUGUCAGAAGGAAGGCUGGGACUCCCCGGGUGUUCUGAGCAACACUAAAAUGCCACGAGGUGACCUCUUGUGCCUACUGUGUGAGCC